UGCCAGAUACGUUCCGCUGAUGUUGUCAGCGUCAACCAGCAACUUUCGGUCUUCCAGGUUGCGCACGGCUUGCCCGUGUGACCGAACCAGUUCGCAUCGCAUCCUCGCGCGAACGACCACCGGCCUGCUGGUGGUGAUGC
rfam:Pseudoxanthomonas spadix BD-a59, complete genome.